GACGAACGCUGGCGGCGUGCUUAACACAUGCAAGUCGAACGAAGUGGCGGACGGGUGAGUAACGCGUAAUCAACCUGCCCUUCAGAGGGGGACAACAGUUGGAAACGACUGCUAAUCCCGCAUAGUGAAGGAGGGGAUUGCGUCGGAUUAGCUCGUUGGAGGGGUAACGGCCCACCAAGGCGAUGAUCAGUAGCCGGGCUGAGAGGAUGAACGGCCACAAUGGGACUGAGAAACGGCCCAGACUCCUACGGGAGGCAGCAGUUGGGAAUCUUUCGCCAUGGACGAAAGUCUGACGGAGCAACGCCGCGUGAGUGAGGACGGCCUUCGGGUUGUAAAGCUCUGUUAAUCGGGACGCGUUACCGGAAUAGAAAGCCACGGCUAACUACGUGCCAGCAGCCGCGGUAAUUC
rnacentral:rRNA from 1 species